rnacentral:rRNA from 1 species
CCAUGGGGGAUUAGUGGCAGACGGGUGAGUAUGCAUAGGAAUCUACCUAGUAGUAUAGGAUAGCCACUAGAAGUGGUGGGUAAUACUGUAUAAUCCCUGCGGGGGAAAGAUUUAUCGCUACUAGAUGAGCCUAUGUUAGAUUAGCUAGUUGGUGGGGUAAUGGCCCACCAAGGCUGUGAUCUGUAGCUGGUCUGAGAGGAUGAUCAGCCACACUGGAACUGAGACACGGUCCAGACUCCUACGGGAGGCAGCAGUGGGGAAUAUUGGACAAUGGGCGCAAGCCUGAUCCAGCUAUGCCGCGUGAGUGAGGAAGGCCUUAGGGUUGUAAAACUCUUUCAGUAGGGAAGAUAAUGACGGUACCUAUAAAA